rnacentral:SRP_RNA from 1 species
GAUGGCUCCUCGCGUGGCGCAAUCCGGGUGAACUCCCCCAGGGCAGAAAUGCAGCAAGGGUAACUCGGCUCUUGCGGGUGCGCGAGGAGUUUUUCAU